UACGGAGGGGGCAAGCGUUGUCCGGAUUUAUUGGGCGUAAAGAGCGUGUAGGCGGUCUGGUAGGUCCGUUGUGAAAACUCGAGGCUCAACCUCGAGACGCCGAUGGAAACCAUCAGACUAGAGUCCGGAAGAGGAGAGUGGAAUUCCUGGUGUAGCGGUGAAAUGCGCAGAUAUCAGGAAGAACACCCGUGGCUAAGGCGGCUCUCUAGUACGGUACUGACGCUGAGACGCGAAAGCGUGGGGAGCGAACAGG
rnacentral:rRNA from 1 species